AAUAAUGUCAUAGCCUUGUUCCUUCAGCCACACGAGGAUGCAGGAGGUGUCCAGGCCGGCACUGUAGGCCAGAACCAUGGAGCCUUUGCUGAACAUAGCAUCUGGGAUUGGAGGUGCAAUUCCUGGUGCCUGGAAUCUGUCUUCAUGGCUCAGUGAACCACUCGGGGCCUGGGGAGCAAAGGCAGGCAACAGAGCAGGGCCCACGUCUUUCUUAUUGGUGAGUUCUUAGAUAUACAGUCAGAUAUAUCUCCUUUUCCUUUUUGGUUUAGCCUCAAAACUAUAUUGUCACCUAAAACUUCUUAUACCACAUUUAUGUUCUUUGUUUCUACAUUUUAAGUCUCCAAAUGAUUUUUCCCCACAUUCUUUUUCUUUUUUCUUUUUUUAGAGACAGGGUUUUGCCAUGUUGCCCAGGCUGGUCUCAAACUCCUGAGCUCAAGCAAUCCGCCCACCUCAGCCUCCCAAAGUGCUUGGAUUAUAGGCAUGAGCCAAUGCUCCUGGCCCCCACAUUCUUUUUUAAAUAAUCUUUUUAUUUUGAAAUAAUUAUAGACUCACAGGAAGCGGCAAAAUAGUACAGAGUUCCUUGUACCCUUCACCCAGCUUCCACCAACGGUAAGACCUUACAUUACUAGAGUAUAAUAUAAAAACCAGUAAAUCUAUAUCCAAAUGACUUUUUUCCCUUUCAUAACCACACUACAAAGCACAAACAAUUUUUUAAAAGUACAUUUCAAAUGGUUUGAAAAGCAUACAAAUGCUAAGCAGAAAAUGAGCCAUAAAUCAGUCAGAUGUUAACUGAGGAUUUAAUAAAAAAAGUUAAGGCUUUGAAAAAUGAUUCAGUAUUCUGCCAAAUUGAAACUCUCUGGGGGAAAAUGGUGCCUUGUUAGGGAUGGAUAAUCAAAACUCAGGUAAAAGUCCAAGAGCACACUCAAGUAGGGUUUCCAGAAGGCUGGCCACAGGUGGUCUUAUGGCAAAGCACUGAUUUUUUAUUUUUAUUUGAGACGGAGUUUCGCUCUAGUCGCCUAGGCUGGAGUGCAAUGGUAUGAUCUCGCCUCACCACAACCUCUGCCUCCCGGGUUUAAGCGAUUCUCCUGCCUCAGCCUCCUGAGUAGCUGGGAUUACAGGCAUGCACCACCACGCCUGGCUAAUUUUGUAUUUUUAGUAGAGAUGGGGUUUCUCCAUAUUGGUCAGGCUGGCCUCGAACUCCUGACCUCAGGCGAUCCGCCCGCCUCGGCCUCCCAAAGUGCUUGGAUUACAGGCGUGAGCCAUCGUGCCUGUCCCUUAUUUACUUGUUUGUUUGUUUGUUUGUUUUUGAGACAGAGUCUCGGUCUGUGGCCCAGGCUGGGGUACAGUGGCAUGGUCUUGGCUUACUGCAACCUCCGCCUCCUGAGUUCAAGCAAUUCUCCCGCCUCAGCCUCCUGAGUAGCUGGGAUUACAGGCAUGCACCACCACACCCAGCUAAUUUUUGUAUUUUUAGUAGAUACAGGGUUUCACCAUGUUAGCCAGGAGGGUCUUAAACUCCUGACUUCGUGAUCUGCCCAACUCGGCUUCCCAAAGUGUUGGGAUUACAGGCGUGAGCCACCAUGCCUGGCUAUUUUACUUUUUGUUCAGAGUAGAGAGUGUAAGAUAAACUGUAGUUGAAUCAAGUUUCCAACUAACAUAGAAAGUUAGUUAUAUAUAGGUUGGCCGACUGACAUUUAUGUCUAUUUUAAUUUUUGGAAUAUCAUAUGUCAGAAGGAUUAAAAAUUUUAUACAAUAAAUGUGUUAUUGAAUAAUGUAUCCAAACAGAUUUUGGGAACUGAAGGAUUGAAAAUGUAUACUAAGUUUUUUUUUUUUGAGAUGGAGUCUCCAUCUGUCACCCAGGCUGGAGUGCAGUGGCGCAAUCUCGGCUCAUUGCAAGCUCCGACUCCCGGGUUCAUGCCAUUCUCCUGCCUCAGCCUCCCGAGUAGCUGGGACUACAGGUGCCCGCCACCAUGCCUGGCUAAUUUUUUUUGUAUUUUUAGUAGAGAUGGGGUUUCACCG
rnacentral:lncRNA from 1 species